GACGAACGCUGGCGGCGUGCUUAACACAUGCAAGUCGAACGGUGAUCUUGGGAGCUUGCUCCUGGGUGAUCAGUGGCGAACGGGUGAGUAACACGUGAGUAACCUGCCCCUGACUCUGGAAUAACCCCGGGAAACCGGGGCUAAUACCGGAUAUGACAUCAUCCCGCAUGGGUGUGGUGUGGAAAGUUUUUUCGGUUGGGGAUGGGCUCGCGGCCUAUCAGCUUGUUGGUGAGGUAGUGGCUCACCAAGGCGACGACAGGUAGCCGGCCUGAGAGGGCGACCGGCCACACUGGGACUGAGACACGGCCCAGACUCCUACGGGAGGCAGCAGUGGGGAAUAUUGCACAAUGGGCGGAAGCCUGAUGCAGCGACGCCGCGUGAGGGAUGACGGCCUUCGGGUUGUAAACCUCUUUCAGCUCUGAAGAAGCGAAAGUGACGGUAGGAGCAGAAGAAGCACCGGCUAACUACGUGCCAGCCGCCGCGGUAA
rnacentral:rRNA from 1 species